AAAUUGAAGAGUUUGAUCAUGGCUCAGAUUGAACGCUGGCGGCAGGCCUAACACAUGCAAGUCGAACGGUAACAGGAAGCAGCUUGCUGCUUCGCUGACGAGUGGCGGACGGGUGAGUAAUGUCUGGGAAACUGCCUGAUGGAGGGGGAUAACUACUGGAAACGGUGGCUAAUACCGCAUAACGUCGCAAGACCAAAGAGGGGGACCUUCGGGCCUCUUGCCAUCAGAUGUGCCCAGAUGGGAUUAGCUAGUUGGUGAGGUAACGGCUCACCAAGGCGACGAUCCCUAGCUGGUCUGAGAGGAUGACCAGCCACACUGGAACUGAGACACGGUCCAGACUCCUACGGGAGGCAGCAGUGGGGAAUAUUGCACAAUGGGCGCAAGCCUGAUGCAGCCAUGCCGCGUGUAUGAAGAAGGCCUUCGGGUUGUAAAGUACUUUCAGCGGGGAGGAAGGUGUUGUGGUUAAUAACCGCAGCAAUUGACGUUACCCGCAGAAGAAGCACCGGCUAACUCCGUGCCAGCAGCCGCGGUAAUACGGAGGGUGCAAGCGUUAAUCGGAAUUACUGGGCGUAAAGCGCACGCAGGCGGUCUGUCAAGUCGGAUGUGAAAUCCCCGGGCUCAACCUGGGAACUGCAUUCGAAACUGGCAGGCUUGAGUCUUGUAGAGGGGGGUAGAAUUCCAGGUGUAGCGGUG
rnacentral:rRNA from 1 species